AUUACUUGGGAAACUUUUUAAAAACGUACAUACCCUUGUCCUACCCCGGACCUACUAAUUGAGUGGCACAGAUCUUAAUAAGCUUGGAUACCCAAAUACCCAAUUACAUAAGACCUAGAAAUGUCAUCUGCAGGGCCUGAGCCAAUGCUUGAUUACUCCAUGGGCAAUAAUCAUAUAUAUGGGUCACAUGCAAAGCAGGGGCAUAUCCCCCAAUGCUGGUUAUUCUCUGUCCUCUCACUACCCAGUUCCAUUCUCGGCCCUUCUCUACCCUACCCCUGGAAACUGACCUCUAUGAACUGUAUUUCCAGGUCUCACUUGCCCUCUGGCUUCUGACCGAGCUUGGCUCAUGAGAGUCAGAGGCAGAUCUGAAGGUGGAAGGAAAGCAUGGGUGGGGUUCCCCCUCACCAGCUUGCUGGGCUGAGCUGAAGUUCUGGCGAUGGCUGUGCUUCUCCAUGGCUACACCUCCAGGCUCCUGCGCUGGACCUCAGACUUAGGGAUGGCAACCUCUCUCUGCUGUUGCUGGUCUUAGGUCACGUCAUGCAGCUGGUAAAGUCGACACUGACAUCCAAGGCGCCUUCAGGACCUGCAGCCCAGCCCCACCUUGUGUAUAUGACUGGAAUGCAUGGAACCGGAUAGGAGCUCACCAAGUAAAGAGAGAAAACCUCAAGCUAUAGUCAUUGGCCCCAGUGCAGGUGUCUAAAGGCCCAGGCUCCAUUCCGGGCUUAGCAAGUCAACUAACCACUGUGAGAAUCCAUGUAAUACCUGUCUGUGGUAAAGAAGAAGAAGGAGGAGGAGAAGAGUGCACAAAUAUCCUGGAAUUCUUUCCUCAUCGGUGUAUGUGUGCUGCUCACCAACAGAUGUAUAUACCACAGAUCUACACCAUUCAUUAAAUGGCUGCAUGGUAUCCCAUUACCUGGAUAUGUUACCACGUGUUAAUCAGUCCCCAUUGGGUAGAUAUUUAGGCUGUACUAGGUUUUGGCUAGUACAACAAUGAAUGUCUGCGUAUGAGCAAAGCUGUUUGAUAAAUCCCUAAGAAAGAGCUAAAUCACUGGCUAAAGGCAGCAUGCAUUUUUGAUUUUGAUAUUAAUCCAAAGAUGAUGCAUCAGUCUCCACUCACAUGGUAUUUCCUCACACUUUCACAACACUGAGUGUUACUAAUCCUUUUGAUAUUUUUAUUUUUGCCAAUUUGAGAGGUGGGAAACAUCUCAUUAGGUUUACUCAUUUAAUUAUGAAUGGGAUUCAGCCUCUUCUCACGUUUAUUAGUCAUGCAUAAGCUGUUCUUUCUGUGACCUGCCUGUUUCUUCUUUUGUGGUUUGAUUUGAGAUCCUUGGCAGUCACAAGGCCCUUCCCUAGACCUGCUCUGCACACACCUGUAGUCCCUCCCCCUGUCCUGCUCGGUUCUCUACUGCCGCCUAGUGACAGGGGUUGGAUUUACCACAGUUCCUCGCAGAUGCUCUAGUUGCAGGCUCCACGCUGGGGGUUUAACUCCCAGUUGGAAUCAUGCCCUUAGUUCCCAAAUAAAAAAAUCAGGACCUCUAGUUAAAUAUGAAUUUCAUAUAAACGACCAAUAACUUUUUGGUUGGUACCUACUUAUUGCUAAAAACUAUGCAUGGUUUAUCUGAAAUCCAAAUUUAACUAGGUGUCAGGUAAUUUAUCAGGCAACCCUAUUCUAAGGCCUCCCGCUAAAUCUGGGUCCCCAUCGUCACCACGCCUUACCUCCUUUAUUCUUAGCAAGUUCUACUAUGCCACAUUCCAACCUGGCAGUUUUCAAAACUAUGGUUGCAGGUGAUACAUAAAUCACUGUGGUUAAGACCUGGGCUCUGGAUUUGAAUCCUGACUCCGGCCACGUACAAGGUGUGAAAUCUCGUGAAAGUAACAUCUUCUCUGGAGCUCAGGUUUCCUCAUCAAGAGAAUAAUAUUUUCCUCAUUGGGUUGCUUUGAUGAUUUCUGACAUUAAAGCUACCAUUUAUUAAGCACUUUA